UGAACGCUGGCGGCGUGCUUAACACAUGCAAGUUGAGCGGUAAGGCCCCUUCGGGGGUACACGAGCAGCGAACGGGUGAGUAACGCGUGGGUAAUCUACCCAUGAGGUGGAGGAUAGCCUCGGGAAACCGGGGGUAAUACUGCAUACGUCUCGACUGACACAAGUCUAACGAGGCAAAGGCGGGGAUCUUCGGACCUGUCGCCUCUGGAUGAGCCCGCGUCCGAUUAGCUAGUUGGUGAGGUAAUGGCUCACCAAGGCAUCGAUCGGUAGCCGGCCUGAGAGGGUGAACGGCCACAUUGGGACUGAGACACGGCCCAGACUCCUACGGGAGGCAGCAGUGGGGAAUUUUGGGCAAUGGGGGAAACCCUGACCCAGCGACGCCGCGUGGAGGAUGAAGGCCUUCGGGUUGUAAACUCCUGUCAGGUGGGAAGAAGUGUUCUACGGAUAAUACCCGUAGGAAAUUGACGGUACCACCAAAGGAAGCCCCGGCUAACUCC
rnacentral:rRNA from 1 species